rnacentral:rRNA from 1 species
UGGGGAAUUUUGGACAAUGGGCGAAAGCCUGAUCCAGCAAUGCCGCGUGUGUGAAGAAGGCCUUCGGGUUGUAAAGCACUUUUGUCCGGAAAGAAAUCCUUGGCUCUAAUACAGUCGGGGGAUGACGGUACCGGAAGAAUAAGCACCGGCUAACUACGUGCCAGCAGCCGCGGUAAUACGUAGGGUGCAAGCGUUAAUCGGAAUUACUGGGCGUAAAGCGUGCGCAGGCGGUUUGCUAAGACCGAUGUGAAAUCCCCGGGCUCAACCUGGGAACUGCAUUGGUGACUGGCAGGCUAGAGUAUGGCAGAGGGGGGUAGAAUUCCACGUGUAGCAGUGAAAUGCGUAGAGAUGUGGAGGAAUACCGAUGGCGAAGGCAGCCCCCUGGGCCAAUACUGACGUCAUGCACGAAAGCGUGGGGAGCAAACAGGAUUAGAUACCCUGGUAGUCCACGCCCUAAACGAUGUCAACUAGUUGUUGGGGAUUCAUUUCCUUAGUAACGUAGCUAACGCGUGAAGUUGACCGCCUGGGGAGUACGGUCGCAAGAUUAAAACUCAAAUGAAUUGACGGGGUCAUAGCUGUUUCCU